rnacentral:rRNA from 1 species
GACGAACGCUGGCGGCGUGCUUAACACAUGCAAGUCGAGCGGAAAGGCCUCCUCGGAGGUACUCGAGCGGCGAACGGGUGAGUAACACGUGAGUAAUCUGCCCUCCACUUCGGGACAACCACCGGAAACGGUGGCUAAUACCGGAUAUGACGACCACCCGCAUGGGUGGUGGUGGAAAGUCGGUUCGGUGGGGGAUGUGCUCGCGGCGUAUCAGUUUGUUGGUGGGGUAAGGGCCUACCAAGGCUUCGACGGGUAGCCAGCCUGAGGGGGUGGCCGGCCACACUGGGACUGAGACACGGCCCAGACUCCUACGGGAGGCAGCAGUGGGGAAUAUUGGACAAUGGGCGGAAGCCUGAUCCAGCAACGCCGCGUGAGGGAUGACGGCCUUCGGGUUGUAAACCUCUUUCAGUACCGACGAAGCGCCGAUGAUGGUGGUGACGGUAGGUACAGAAGAAGCACCGGCCAACUACGUGCCAGCAGCCGCAGUAACAC